rnacentral:tRNA from 1 species
AAGGGAGACCUAAUUCGGGUAUAAGACGAAAAAAGAGUAGUCGAAACCAAGAAUCAAUCCCAAAAGGUCGGAACGAGGUAUGUGGCUUUCAAACUAGGUUCUGGGUUCACACAAGACCUGAAUCAGGAACAAGGGCUAUUAGCUCAGGUGGUUAGAGCGCACCCCUGAUAAGGGUGAGGUCCCUGGUUCGAGUCCAGGAUGGCCCACCUGCACAGGUGGCAAAAACAAAGAAGCGAGGAAUCAGCACCUUAUCUUAUCUAUAUAUAAGAGAGAAUGCUGGCUCUGAGUAAAGAGUCCAGAGGAACCUUGAAAACUGCAUAGAGCUAGGUGAAAAAGCCAAAAAGGAAGACCGCAA